AACGAACGCUGGCGGCAUGCCUAACACAUGCAAGUCGAACGAGAUCUUCGGGUCUAGUGGCGCACGGGUGCGUAACGCGUGGGAAUCUGCCCUUUGGUUCGGAAUAACAGUUGGAAACGACUGCUAAUACCGGAUGAUGACGAAAGUCCAAAGAUUUAUCGCCAGAGGAUGAGCCCGCGUGGGAUUAGCUAGUUGGUGUGGUAAAGGCGCACCAAGGCGACGAUCCUUAGCUGGUCCGAGAGGAUGCUCAGCCACCCUUGGACUGAGACACGGCCCAGACUCCUACGGGAGGCGGCAGUGGAGGAUAUUGGACAAUGGGCGAAAGCCUGAUCCAGCAAUGCCGCGUGAGUGAUGAAGGCCUUAGGGUUGUAAAGCUCUUUUACCCGGGAUGAUAAUGACAGUACCGGGAGAAUAAGCUCCGGCUAACUCCGUGCCAGCCGCCGCCGUAA
rnacentral:rRNA from 1 species